rnacentral:tRNA from 1 species
GACAAGAUUUUAUUAUUUUGCAGAUAAUACAAGCUACUAUUUUAGCCUUGCCUAAAA